ACUCAAAUGAAUAGACGGGGGCCCGCACAAGCGGUGGAGUAUGUGGUUUAAUUCGAUGCAACGCGAAGAACCUUACCUGGUCUUGACAUCCUAGGAAUCCUGCAGAGAUGCGGGAGUGCCGCAAGGAGCCUAGAGACAGGUGCUGCAUGGCUGUCGUCAGCUCGUGUCGUGAGAUGUUGGGUUAAGUCCCGCAACGAGCGCAACCCUUGUCCUUAGUUGCCAGCAUUCAGUUGGGCACUCUAAGGAGACCGCCGGUGACAAACCGGAGGAAGGUGGGGAUGACGUCAAGUCCUCAUGGCCCUUAUGACCAGGGCUACACACGUACUACAAUGGCCGGUACAAAGGGUCGCCAACCCGCGAGGGGGAGCUAAUCCCAGAAAGCCGGUCGUAGUCCGGAUCGGAGUCUGCAACUCGACUCCGUGAAGUCGGAAUCGCUAGUAAUCGCGGAUCAGCAAUGCCGCGGUGAAUACGUUCCCGGGCCUUGCACACACCGCCCGU
rnacentral:rRNA from 1 species